rnacentral:rRNA from 1 species
UACGUAGGGGGCGAGCGUUGUCCGGAUUCAUUGGGCGUAAAGAGCUCGUAGGCGGUUCGGCAAGUCGGAUGUGAAAUCUCCACGCUUAACGUGGAGGGGCCAUUCGAAACUGCCGUGACUCGAGUCCGGUAGGGGAGUUCGGAAUUCCCGGUGUAGCGGUGGAAAUGCGCAGAUAUCAGGAGGAACACCAGCGGCGAAGGCGGCGCUCUGGGCUGGCACUGACACUGAGGAGCGAAAGCGUGGGGAGCGAACAGG